CAAUUACUAGUGGGUCAUCAUGCUCAUAGCCACCAUGACAUUUGUAUAAUAACCUUCGUACAUGGAGUCAUUAUUAUUAACAACGUUCAUCUUUUCUCAAGUCGCUUUGAAGGACUACCCUCGCUUGUUGACAGUCUUCUUGGCAUCACAACCUAUGUAUAUAGAAAAUAAUCAAUUUCGUCAACUUUCUACAAUGCACAAUGGCGUAGUCUCAAGUCUCAAUGCCGUCUAUUUAUAUGCAAGAAAGCAAGGAAAACUCUUUGGAAGAGUUCACUGGAGUAAUGCUCACUGUAGCUAACCUGGAGCUGAAUAGACAUAGCCUUUUACUGUACCUACAGACCUACCUGAGCAUUAUUUAUUUGUCAGCCAUAAUCAUAAAUUUUAUUUUUGUCUUUUUGAUUCUGGUAAAGAAGAAAACCCACCAGGAAUGUAUUCCCCUCCCUUCUGUGUAUUUUUUUUAGUGUUCACUGUGUGUAUGAAUGGGUUCUGAGCGCUUUUGCGCAAGAGAAAAAAACAGCUCGUUACUAAG